GACGAACGCUGGCGGCGUGCUUAACACAUGCAAGUCGAACGGAAAGGCCCUGCUUUUGUGGGGUGCUCGAGUGGCGAACGGGUGAGUAACACGUGAGUAACCUGCCCUUGACUUUGGGAUAACUUCAGGAAACUGGGGCUAAUACCGGAUAGGAGCUCCUGCUGCAUGGUGGGGGUUGGAAAGUUUCGGCGGUUUGGGAUGGACUCGCGGCUUAUCAGCUUGUUGGUGGGGUAGUGGCUUACCACGGCUUUGACGGGUAGCCCGCCUGAGAGGGUGACCGGGCACCUGACGCCUACGAUACGCACCAGUAGCGUACCGGCGGCAGUAGUCGGGAGCCUUACAGAGUGGCGCGACGCGUGAUAUGGAAACCCCGGGUGCGUGAUGCCGGGUUACGGGUUGUAAACCGAUUUCGAAUGUGCCGAAGAGUUAGUGACGGUACUGGGUCAAGAAGCACCGGCUAACUACGUG
rnacentral:rRNA from 1 species